UGCCAGCAGCCGCGGUAAUACGGAGGGUGCAAGCGUUAAUCGGAAUUACUGGGCGUAAAGGGUACGUAGGCGGUUAAAUAAGUUGGAUGUGAUAGCCCCGGGCUCAACCUGGGAACUGCAUUCAAAACUGUUUAGCUAGAGUGUAUAAGAGGUUAGCGGAAUUCCAGGUGUAGCAGUGAAAUGCGUAGAUAUCUGGAGGAACAUCAGUGGCGAAGGCGGCUAACUGGUAUAACACUGACGCUGAGGUACGAAAGCGUGGGUAGCGAACGGGAUUAGAUA
rnacentral:rRNA from 1 species